rnacentral:rRNA from 1 species
GACGAACGCUGGCGGCGUGCCUAAUACAUGCAAGUAGAACGCACAGUUUAUACCGUAGCUUGCUACACCAUAGACUGUGAGUUGCGAACGGGUGAGUAACGCGUAGGUAACCUGCCUGGUAGCGGGGGAUAACUAUUGGAAACGAUAGCUAAUACCGCAUAAUAUUGAUUAUUGCAUGGUAAUUGAUUGAAAGAUGCUAUUGCAUCACUACCAGAUGGACCUGCGUUGUAUUAGCUAGUAGGUGAGGUAACGGCUCACCUAGGCGACGAUACAUAGCCGACCUGAGAGGGCGAUCGGCCACCCUGGGACUGAGACACGGCCCAGACUCCUACGGGAGGCAGCAGUAGGGAAUCUUCGGCAAUGGGCGAAAGUCUGACCGAGCAACGCCGCGUGAGUGAAGAAGGUUGUCGGAUCGUAAAGCUCUGUUGUAAGAGAAGAACGGGUGUGAGAGUGGAAAGUUCACACUGUGACGGUAUCCUACCAGAAAGGGACGGCUAACUACGUG